CACCACCAUGGACAGACACAGACAGAGAACGAUGACUCUCGCUCCCUGGCGGCCUCUCACCGGAGGCUGUUGACGAAGGCGAGGAGCGAGUCGACGUCCCUCUUCUCGGACGGGUACUUGAUGGGCCUGGCGGUGCGGCUCGGGAACAGGAGCACGGUGGGGAAGCUCUGCAGCUGCAGCUCCGCCUGCGCGAACGGCUUCUGCUCGCCGUCGGCGCGGAACCUGGCCACCUUCACACCGGAAUCCGCCAGCUUCUCCGCCAGCUCCACGUAGGAGGCCUCCAUGGCCUGGCAGAAGGGGCACCACGGCGCGUACAGCACCACGAGCCACGGCUCCGCGCGGUUCUCCAGGCCCAGCAGGUUCUCGAUCCCGGUCCGGGUCAGGGACACCACGGCGGGGCUCUCGAAGAUGUCCGGGGCGCCCGCCGAGCCGUUGCCGUUGGCGGACUUGGGCGCCGCCUGCCCGUCCUUUUCGAUGUUGCCCUUGUGAAGGCCGCACUCCUUGGCCUUGGCGUCCUCCCACCACCACCGGCCUUCACGCUCGUGCUGCCCCGGCAGGACCGGCCUGGUGCACGGCUCGCAACCAAUUGACACGUAACCCUGAAGAACACAUUGGAUAGAGAAUUCGAGAUUGUCAAUCACUUGCACAUCUUAAGAUGCUCAUUGUGUCAAUGACAAACAUAAUGGAAGCUGAUCUUACUUGAGCGUGCAGGGUGUUGACAGGGACGUCCAUGGUCCUCAGGAAUGUCCAGAUGUCCUUGCCGUCGACGUUGGCCACGGGGUUCCACUUGAUCAAGCUACCAGCUCCGCCAUCCUGGCCUUCAAAUGAAGGAUCAACCUGCAUUGGCACCAAUUGCACGAUCAGGCAUCAGAAAACUGACCUCCGUAUGAACAAAGAUUCAAUUGUUCAAAUACCGCAUUCGGAAUGCAAGGAGGCAUAUAUAUACCUGAACGACGGGGAUGCUUGCCCUGGUGCCGGGGGACUGGUCCUUCCUCUGGCCGGUGAUCCAGGCCCUGAGGCCCUUGAGGGCCCUGCGCAGCGGCCGCACCUUGCGCACCCGGCAGCACUCCUGGUGGCCGUCCUCGUAGAAGGAGAAGAGGCCCUUGGUCCGCACCAGCUCCUGCACCUCGCCGGCGUCCGGGAACAUGUACUCGAUGCGGAUGCCGUAGUGCUUCUCCACCUUGUCGAAGAACUGGUAGGUCUCCGGGUUCAGGCGGCCCGUGUCCAGGCUGAACACCCGGAAGGGGCGCCCCGUCAGCUUCGCGUACUCGAUCAGCGCCACGUCCUCCGCGCCACUGCACGACACGAGACGACGAGAGAGCCAUUGGCGUCAGGGAUGAAUUGAUGUGAUCGUGGUGAGGCUAUCUAUCCGAUCGAUACGUCCGGGACACACAUCCAUGUCAGCUCAUGGCUGAAAGAUCAGCAUCCUAACAGGGCGGUUGUUGCCUACACGACGAGCUAAGCAAUCAGCAUGCGUAUUGUACUUUGUCCUCUGCUCUUGGAAGCUGCACUAGAACAGAGAGCGGCAUACAUUGUGCGUGUUGUCCCUAGCUUUUAUCAAAGGAAGCAAUUUAUCCUUUUAUAAAAAAGAAGUGAUUUGUUACCAACCCCACAAGGAAUCUAUUGAGCCAAAGGAAGCAAUUUAUCCUUUUAUAAAAAAGAAGUGAUUUGUUAGAACCGACCCCACAAGGAAUCUAUUGAGCUGCUCCUCCGUCCUAAAUUAGUAUUCCUUUAACUUUUCUAAAUAUUCGCUACGUAUCGAGACAUAAUAUAUAUCUGGGUGCAAUUAUAAAACUAUAUAUCUAGAAAAAUUAAAACAAAUAUCUAGGUGCAAUUACAAAUCUAUAUAUUUAGAAAAAUUUAUAAAAAAUUAAAAUAAAUAGUAAUUUGAGAAAGGAGUACGUAGAAUUUGGACGCCGUUGCCUUUUCUAGUUUCUUCCGAGAGUCAAACAACUUUGGUUCGUCCGGAUGCGCGUGGGUGGUGGGCCAUGAUUCUAGCUCCGGUUGCACAAUCUUGGACGCCAGGUUCAGUGAACCUGGACGCCUCGCAAGCUUGGCUCCCUCGUCCAGAUACAUUGGCAUGCGCAGUGCAUCAAACGGGCUUCGCUACCAUUACCGUUACAAAACCCGAUUAGAUUUGAGCAUUUGAGGACCAUAAGAACUUUUGGCCACGAAUCUAUGAUCAUCUAUAUAGUGUGAAAAACAAUAAUAAGAUGCCCUUAAAGCUUUAGAGGCAGACAGGUGGGACCCAUAGUCCAAUGCCUAGCGAAAUGGUGGAGGAUACCAGGAAUCUCCACGGCCACACGUUCGGAAGAUACCACGAUGCCGGGAGCAAAGCGGGUGCAGCUCGCAGCGCCUAAACCCAGUCCACCAAGAACCAACGGUAACGGAGGCUAGCGGGCGCGCGGGAGGAGGCAUGAGGAUCCGAACCCGUGGACGAGCACGACAGAGAGGACGGUCUGCUCACCUGAACGCGAUGGCGAUCUCGGAUCCGAACAUGGCCAGCGCCCGAUCCAUGACCUGCAGCGGCGACGCGCCCUCCAGCUCACGCGCCAGGGCCUCGUAGUCCACCGCGGCGGGGGCCGCGGCCUCGUCGGCCACGGGCGCCACCGGCGCCGCCGACGCCGCGGAGGCCGACACCGGCUGCCUCCCCUGCUCCGCCGCGCGCAGCGGGCGCACCGCCCGAGCGCGCUGGCCCCGCGCCGCCGCUGACGGGGCCACGGCCACCUGCUGCCUCACGGCGCCAAUCCUCGCGGCUGCACGGCCAAAACGGAGAGCAAUUUUUAGAGCAAUUGCAAACUGCCGCUCCAAAUGCAGAUGAAUUCCGACACGAAGCCGUGCAUUUCGCAUGUAGAAAUAUCACAGGAUGCUCAAACCGAUCGCCGAAUCUCAGAUCAAAUUCAAAUAGGAGAAUACGGACGCAUCAAGCUCAGGAGCUGAUAGAUUCUGGCUAAACCAUAUCAAAUUGGAGGAGAAAACCUUCUGAAAAUCGACGGAAUUGAACCUCACCUUUGACGUCGCGGAGCGCGGCGGGGUGCGACGAGAUGGAGGCGGUGGCGGAAGCCAUUGGAAGCUCUCUUGGGGCUUUGAAAAAAAUUCGCAGCUGGUAAUAUUUCUUCUCUGGAGCAAAUGUGUUUUUGACUCCUGCGUUUUUUCUGUGGCGC
rnacentral:lncRNA from 1 species